CUGUUUAACAAAAACAUGGCUCUUUGGUGUUAGAAAUAAAGAGUCGGACCUGCCCGGUGAAUGUAAUAAACGGUUGCAACGAGAGUUGUACGAAGGUAGCGUGAUAAGUUGUCUUUUAAUUGGAGAAUGGAAUGAAGGGUUUGACGUGAAAUUUCUUUUUUUAUAAAAGGUACUAAAGUUUCCUUCUAAGUGAAAAGGCUUAGGUUUUUGAAAAAGACGAGAAGACCCUGUCGAACUUGAUU
rnacentral:rRNA from 1 species